UACGGGGGGAGCAAGCGUUGUUCGGAUUUACUGGGCGUAAAGGGCGCGUAGGCGGCCAGCACAAGUCAGUUGUGAAAUCUCCGAGCUUAACUCGGAACGGUCAACUGAUACUGUGCGGCUAGAGUGCAGAAGGGGCAACUGGAAUUCUUGGUGUAGCGGUGAAAUGCGUAGAUAUCAAGAGGAACACCUGCGGCGAAGGCGGGUUGCUGGGCUGACACUGACGCUGAGGCGCGAAAGCCAGGGGAGCAAACGGG
rnacentral:rRNA from 1 species